AUUUUGUAUUAUUUUGUUUUUGCUUUUUGCCAUUUUGUACAUAAAUCACAAAGCAGCGACCGGAGACCGAGACUCUGACUCCGACGGAGAGCCGAAGCGGAUGCUGCGCAGUUGCUGCUCUGCUUGGCUCGGCUCUGCUCUGCUCAGAUACAUCUGUAUGGGUGCCGUUCCGGUAUCUGUGUAUACAUGUGUGUGUGUACCGCCAUUUGGAAUUUUUCGAAAUUGGGGUUCGCUACAACAAACGCAUUUCGUAGUAGACGUUUAGGCGUCAACUAGUGCGCUUGGUGCUGCGCUUACACGUAGAUACUCUCUCAGCCCAGUGCUGAGCGAGCUUGAGGCACAGAUGAACGUUGUACCCUGGCACCAUCUGCUGCCAGCACCUUCUUGCUGGCAUUCAGGACGCACGAACACCACAAAUCGAGGAGAAAGCGCCAUGAAACGAAGAAACAAAAGCUUUUAAAUAUCCCUAGAAUGGUAUCCGCACAUACAGACAGACAGAAAGACAAUCCGACAGACAACAAAGAACAAAAGAACGACCGAGUGUUUCAUUUUAAUUUUUGGAAAGCGAUCCACGACGAUGAACGUACGACAGCCACAUAUUUUUUGCGCAAACCUCGACUCGAGCCUCGACCCAAAUGGAAAACCGUACGAAAAGCGAAUUAAAUGAAAAGUGAAAAUGCUGUGUAAAUAAUUCUAACAUAAGUUGAUAUAAAAGUGUACAAAGGCCCAAAGCCGCAAAGCAAUGGCAAAAUGCCAUCAUAAAUGAUUAAAUAUUUAAUUCCGAAUCCGUUCUGAAAGUGCGCGUUAUGUAAAAAUCUCUGGGGUAUGUACUUGAUGUUGUAAUGGAAUAUACUACGUCUUUUUGUCAUGCAUAUUUUUGGUGUGGUUUUGAUGUCAAUGUCAAUGUCAAUGUUGUCCAUGUUUUGUAAUUGUCGUUGUUGCCUAAAUGUUAAUCGUUAAUAUUCACAAGAAACCAAACUAUGAUAAUGAACAAUCAUAAUAUUCAACAAUACCUUGAGUGAGUAUGCACCAAAUAUUUUUUAUGAAUAUUCAAUAGUAACUUAGCUUAAAGAAAGGUUUUUACGAUUAAGAAAAUACGCAAAAAUGUAGGAUAUGUUAAGGAUGAUAGAAGAAAUAUAUUGGUUUAAUUAAUUUUAGGUAGCAACCGAAACAGAAAAAAAUAAAUCAAAACUCAAAGAAAAUUAUGUUUCUUCUGGAAAAUAUUUAAAAGGAUAAUUUGUUGGAAGGGAAGUAGCAGAAUUUAUCAAUUAAAAUUACAGCUGAGCAAACAUAUUUGUC
rnacentral:lncRNA from 1 species